rnacentral:rRNA from 1 species
CGCCGGGGGGCUCACGCCCCCGGGCCCGCGCCCGCCGAAGACACCCUCGAACUCUGUCUGAAGAUUGUAGUCUGAGUGAAAAUAUAAAUUAUUUAAAACUUUCAACAACGGAUCUCUUGGUUCCGGCAUCGAUGAAGAACGCAGCGAAAUGCGAUACGUAAUGUGAAUUGCAAAUUCAGUGAAUCAUCGAGUCUUUGAACGCACAUUGCGCCCCCUGGUAUUCCGGGGGGCAUGCCUGUCCGAGCGUCAUUGCUGCCCUCAAGCACGGCUUGUGUGUUGGGCCCCGUCCUCCGAUUCCGGGGGACGGGCCCGAAAGGCAGCGGCGGCACCGCGUCCGGUCCUCGAGCGUAUGGGGCUUUGUCACCCGCUCUGUAGGCCCGGCCGGCGCUUGCCGAUCAACCCAAAUUUUUAUCCAGGUUGACCUCGGAUCAGGUAGGGAUACCCGCUGAACUUAAGCAUAUCAAUAAGCGGAGAAA